rnacentral:rRNA from 1 species
GAUGAACGCUAGCGGCAGGCUUAAUACAUGCAAGUCGAGGGGCAGCAGUUUUGUAGCAAUACAGAAGCUGGCGACCGGCAAACGGGUGCGGAACACGUACGCAACCUUCCUCUAACUGGAAGAUAGCCCACCGAAAGGUGGAUUAAUAUUCCAUAGUAUAUUGAAAAGGCAUCUUUUUGAUAUUAAAGCUCCGGCGGUUAGAGAUGGGCGUGCGUCUGAUUAGGUAGUUGGCGGGGUAACGGCCCACCAAGCCUACGAUCAGUAGCUGAUGUGAGAGCAUGAUCAGCCACACGGGCACUGAGACACGGGCCCGACUCCUACGGGAGGCAGCAGUAAGGAAUAUUGGUCAAUGGACGCAAGUCUGAACCAGCCAUGCCGCGUGGAGGAUGAAGGCCCUCUGGGUUGUAAACUUCUUUUCUUUGGGACGAAACCCCUGUUUCUACGGGGACUGACGGUACCAGAGGAAUAAGCACCGGCUAACUCCGUGCCAGCAGCCGCGGUAAUACGGAGGGUGCAAGCGUUAUCCGGAUUCACUGGGUUUAAAGGGAGCGUAGGUGGGCUU